rnacentral:rRNA from 1 species
UCAUUACCGAGUGCGGGUUCGAACGAGCCCAACCUCCCACCCGUGUUUACUGUUACCGCGUUGCCUCGGCGGGCCCACUGGGGCCUGGCCCCGGUCGCCGGGGGGCUUCUGCCCCCGGGCCCGCGCCCGCCGAAGCACCCUAGAACCCUGCCUGAACAGUGAGUCUGAGUGAGAUUUUAAAUCAUUAAAACUUUCAACAACGGAUCUCUUGGUUCCGGCAUCGAUGAAGAACGCAGCGAAAUGCGAUAAGUAAUGUGAAUUGCAGAAUUCCGUGAAUCAUCGAAUCUUUGAACGCACAUUGCGCCCCCUGGCAUUCCGGGGGGCAUGCCUGUCCGAGCGUCAUUUCUGCCCUCCAGCACGGCUGGGUGUUGGGCGCUGUCCCCCCGGGGACACGCCCCAAAAGCAGUGGCGGCGCCGCGUCGGGUCCUCGAGCGUAUGGGGCUCUGUCACCCGCUCGGGAGGGACUCGGUCGGCGCCGGUCUUCCCUUUAGGCCGCCCUUCGGGGUGCGCCUCUUCCGGUUGACCUCGGAUCAGGUAGGGCUACCCGCUGAACUUAAGCAUAUCAAUAAGCGGAGGAAAAGAAACCAACAGGGAUUGCCUCAGUA